GACGAACGCUGGCGGCGUGCUUAACACAUGCAAGUCGAACGGAAAGGCCCUGCUUUUGUGGGGUGCUCGAUUGGCGAACGGGUGAGUAACACGUGAGUAACCUGCCCUUGACUUUGGGAUAACUUCAGGAAACUGGGGCUAAUACCGGAUAUGAGCUCCUGCUGCAUGGUGGGGGUUGGAAAGUUUCGGCGGUUGGGGAUUGACUCGCGGCUUAUCAGCUUGUUGGUGGGGUAGUGGCUUACCAAGGCUUUGACGGGUAGCCGGCCUGAGAGGGUGACCGGCCACAUUGGGACUGAGAUACGGACCAGACUCCUACGGGAGGCAGCAGUGGGGAAUAUUGCACAAUGGGAGGAAGCCUGAUGCAGCAACGCAGCGUGCGGGAUGACGGCCUUCGGGUUGUAAACCGAUUUCGCCUGUGACGAAGAGUGAGUGACGGUAAUGGGUAAAGAAGCACCGGCUAACUACGUG
rnacentral:rRNA from 1 species